rnacentral:rRNA from 1 species
AAAAAAGCGUUAAAGCUUUAUUAUCUCUUCUAAAAAUUCCACCACCAUAUUUUAACCCCUAAAUAGUACUGAAUGAUUCCAUAACUUUAUGGAAGCCUAUAUGUUAGAACUAGUAACAAGAAGGCAGCCCUUCUCCAAAAUGUAAGCAUGAGCCAAAAUGAACUAUUCAUUGGCACUUAAAGCUAAUAAACCACUAGUAGCAACUCAAUCAAGAAAAACCUACUAAUAAUAUCGUCAACCUUACACUAGCACAUUUCUGGAAAGAUUAAAAGACUGGGAAGGAACUCGGCAAACUACUUAACCCCGCCUGUUUACCAAAAACAUCGCCUCUUGUUUUUAUACCAUAAGAGGUCCAGCCUGCCCAGUGACAAAGUUAAACGGCCGCGGUACCCUAACCGUGCAAAGGUAGCACAAUCACUUGUUCUUUAAAUGAGGACUAGUAUGAACGGCAUCACGAGGGUUAUGCUGUCUCCCCACUCUAUUCAGUGAAACUGAUCUCUCCGUGAAGAAGCGGGGAUAAAAAUAUAAGACGAGAAGACCCCAUGGAGCUUUAAACUCAAAAUCAAUUGCUUUAAACAAUUAACCUAGUAUUUAUGCAACUCUGAUUUCUAGUUUUCGGUUGGGGUGACCACGGAGUAUAAACAAACCUCCACGAUGAAAGGAACUAAUAACCUAAAUCAAGAGCUACAGCUCUAAAUAUCAACAAACUGACUAAAUUGAUCCAAUUACUUGAUCAACGAACCAAGUUACCCUGGGGAUAACAGCGCAAUCCAUUUCAAGAGCUCAUAUCGACAAAUGGGUUUACGACCUCGAUGUUGGAUCAGGGUAUCCCAGUGGCGCAGCCGCUACUAACGGUUCGUUUGUUCAACGAUUAAA